rnacentral:tRNA from 1 species
GCCUGGCUAGCUCAAUCGGUAGAGCGUGAGACUCUUAAGACGGUCAUCUCAAGGUUGUGGGUUCGACCCCCACGUUAGGCU